AUUGAACGCUGGCGGCAUGCCUUACACAUGCAAGUCGAACGGCAGCACGGGAGCAAUCCUGGUGGCGAGUGGCGAACGGGUGAGUAAUGCAUCGGAACGUACCUUUCAGUGGGGGAUAACGUAGCGAAAGUUACGCUAAUACCGCAUAUUCUGUGAGCAGGAAAGCAGGGGAUCGCAAGACCUUGCGCUGAUUGAGCGGCCGAUAUCAGAUUAGCUAGUUGGUGAGGUAAAGGCUCACCAAGGCGACGAUCUGUAGCGGGUCUGAGAGGAUGAUCCGCCACACUGGAACUGAGACACGGUCCAGACUCCUACGGGAGGCAGCAGUGGGGAAUUUUGGACAAUGGGCGCAAGCCUGAUCCAGCCAUGCCGCGUGAGUGAGAAGGCCUCGGUGUAAG
rnacentral:rRNA from 1 species